UUGUACUCCUGGUGUGAGAUCUAAUAUUUUUGUAAGUUAAUAACUGGAAUUUCCUAGUCCUUUUCCAGGCAAAGAAAGGGUCUUGUUUGUUGGGUCUUCAAGCAACUCAUUUUAAAUUCAAGGUUGAUCAGAACACUCUAGCAACCUGCUUUCUCCUGGUCCAGCUAUCAACUUGAGUUUCUCUGUGGCAUCUGCUACCACAGUGUCUUGGUGCUGAAACAGCCCUCUGCUCUGAUGUCUGACACGGAACAGAUACCAGAUAUUGAAAAGCCUGGGGGCUCACACAACAGUCCAGUGAAAUCUCAACAAGGAAAGUAGUAUUUACCCUGAUAUAAUUAUAAAGCAGAUACAACUCCCACAGAUGCCAGCCACAAAAGGACCACAGUUGAGGAAACAAUCUCUCUCCUAGUAUCAGACCUUCUCAGACUAAGCACUCUUCAACUCUGCGUCAGCACUUCCAUGUGUAACCAGAGCCAGAGUCCUCCACAGAAAUGGGUACAGAAAGCUCAGAGAGAGGGAACUGAAAACUACUAGUGCUGAAAAAUCUAAAAUAUCCCAGGACCACAUCGGCUCACCACCAUCCUUUCAUCCUGAAGUUUGUCUUCUGUGAUAAUCUCCUGCAAAACAGUCCAGUUAUGUCCCACUAGAGAAGUAUUAAAUGGCUCUGUCAAAAGGAACUAUCUUCUGAUCUGGUUGAGCAGAACUUUUGAUUGUCCUACAGAUCAACACCAUAGGUGCUCUAGAAAGAUAAAAACUGGAAGAUGCUACCAAGUAACUUUACAAGGAUAGAUUAAUCUAUCUUGGAAAAACUUCCUUCUCCUCCAAGUUGCCAAAAAUUUAUUACUGAAGCUGAAAAAAUAUAUUAGUACUAUUACACAAGUAAAACCACAACUUGUUGGGAUAAAUGAACCUAAUUUGGGUCUUUUACCUCUCUAAUUAAUACAGAUAUGGCCGAUGACAGACAAACUGCAGGUAUGACUAAAACGUGGGACUUGGGAGAGCUUGUUAGUACUGCUCUGGUUCAUCAUAUUUCACAUCAGAGAAGGCUCAAGGUAUGCACUCUCCCCUGCUCUGCUGCAAAGGAAUAUGGUCACAUCAUAGGAAGAGCACUGAAAGCUGUACUAAAAUCCAAAAAGAUUACAUCAACAACAUGUAGACAGGGUGAGAGCUCACUAGGGCUUUCAUAGAAUGACUGGGAGAUCUGGACCCUUUGGUUUCCCAUUAAAUGCUACUGCAAGUCAAUCUGAAUGCAUUUCUCAUCAGCUAAAUAAGUAACGUAGCACAGAAAAAGCUGAAAUCCAAUUUAGGCUACACCUGAUAAUCUGUCUUUCAUCCCCAGUGUGAUUCUGCAGAAUUAAGUCUGUUGGGUGUGUACAGACAAAGGUUUGCCAUCCUCUAUCCACCUGCAUUAACUUGCAGUAACUUGUGUUUACUUGUAACUGUGGUCAGUACAAGGCACAGUUACUUGUAGUAAUCAGCCAACACUCCUAGGCAAUUUUUCAAGUAUACAGAGUUUAACUAUCCUUAAUAAAUAAAUAGUUUUUGUAUUUUGUAGAUAAUAAAUAAUUAAACUUUAAUUUUCCGGGAGUCACAGUCAUGGAGGGUUCAUCAUUGCUUUACUAUUAUCAAGAAGUCCAACAUAAAUCUGCCAGCCCUAUUCAGACUGGCUGAACAGCAGAUUUGAGUAUGCAGUUUGUGCUUGACACUAUUAUAGCCUAAAGGCAGAUACACAUUUGUAAUCUUUGCAAACACCACUGAAUUUGGAGGAACAGCUGACAUACCAAAGGGGAGUUCAGAGGCACUCUCCAGCAACCUGGGGACUGGAUCAACAGAAACCUCCUCAAGUUCAACAGGGGUAAGUGUCAAGUUCUGCAGCUAUGGCAGAAUAACCCCAAGCACCAGUGCAGGUUGGGAACACACUGCUGUAAAGACCCAGAGGUUACAGGGGAUGCCAAAUAAAACAUGAGGCAGCAGCAUGUUCCCAAAGUAAACAAAGCAAACUGUAAAUUGGCUGCAUUAGCAGUGUGACCAGCACAUUGAGGCUCUGCUUGAUGCUUGCAAGGAUUUGUGUCUCCCACAAUUCUGUGUCUGGUUCCUUAUGUCCCAGAUGAAGGACACUGAAAAACAGGGCAGAACUAUCAAAAUGGUCAUAUUCCCACAACUCAUGAUGUGUAAGAGCUUGGGAGCCUCUUUAGUCUGGCAAAGAGGACGCUAAGGGGAAAGCCUGGAACUGCCUGCAGGGAUGUUACAGAAACUACAGAGCCUUCAAGCAGUAGCUGCACAAAGUCAUAGCUGACCUGGUUCAACCACCUCAAAAUCCUUCCAAAUUAUGGUUCUGUAUUUCUUCUAUGAUACCAUGAACCUGUUUCAAAUUUCAUCUCAAAAUACCUUCACUGUUUCUACAACAGUGUCUUCAAGCAGGACACACAGGCAGACCCAAGUCUUGCUGUGUCACAAAUGUAACUGCUUGGUCCCUCUAAAAAUUAGCAGAGCACAGAUUAGAAAAUUCCUCAUCUGACUAUUCCUGCUAUCUAACUUCCAUUUAAUAGAACUUUUUCUUUUCUUUCCAAACAGGUUUUGAUCUACAAAACAGGUAGCAGGUUGGGGCUCAUGAAGAAAAGGUCUCAAACACAAGUAAAAAUGUAUGCAGUUUUGGUACUGCUGGAACUCCCAUAUAUGUGAAGAUAGACUGUGAUUGUGAAAUACCAUGCAAGAACAACACCCUGAUACUAAAUCAGUUCAACACAAGCCAGGAAGAGGAAGAAGGGAAAAUUGUGGCUCCCAGCCACUUGAGGGAGAAGGAAGAAAAGAGAGAACAUUCACACAGGGUGUCUUGGGUAUUUAAACAACAAAGUUCUACCAUGACCAGUGAUGUCCACAGAACACACUGAAUGACUGCUGAAGGAAGCGGUCAGAUACAGAAGAUGCUAUCAUCAAUACAGCAGACUCAGAAGACUGACUUCAGUCAGUCCUCCUCCAAAGUCCCAGGAGGGCUUCUAGAUUGUGUGAUUCUCUGAAGCUUUUCCACUGCUUUAAAGAAGUUAAAUAACUAUUUAACCUCAUCUCACAACCAGAAAAACUGGGGCACAGCAACAGCUUCCUUCCAUGGAAACUUCUAGUUAAAAGUGAAAGAUGCAUGUGAUCUGCAAAGAAACUACUGAUAAACCUAAGGCCACAGGAAGUGCUGAUGUCAAAUACCCGAGCCGAAUUCAGGAGCUGCCUUAGCCUGCUUGUGAACCAUAGUUCCUCACCCUCUGGACCUGCAACCUUGAUCCCAUCAUCACGUCUGGCAUACUGGCUGGGGCUUUGGCAGCUCAACGUGGGCACCUCCUACCCAUCCCUAGGAUCUACAAUACAGCCAGAUUUCUGGAAAAUCUGUUUUUAUGGUGGCCGCUUCAUACAGGGAGAGCUGUAGCUUUGUGCAAGAGGAUGAAGAAGGCUAGAGAAAUUCAUGAGCAGCUCUGUUAAGAAAACCCAAAUACCACGCUUCCUGGUCUCGUGUGGCAUUUGUUGGGCACUCCACACAAGUGUCAAUCAGCGUGAAACUACUUAAUUUAUAAUCUUCAUACAAAAAAGGGAGAGGUAACAUGGCUGCAUUUCCAGGCACGAUUAACGCUCUAAAAGACGGAGAAAUACGAGGACCCUUGCCUUCCUCAAACAAUGAGCAGAGAUUACAAAACAAUCUAAACGUGCUACUCCAACUUAGCUCCAUUAUGCAAACACUACCUGGGAAAGCGUCCUGGGGGUGCCUUACAUAACUCCUCUCUCCGAGCCCCCCUUGGCAGCCGGGCAGUUGUUCCUCCCCCUAACCCCGGCCGCAGCCCCGGCUCCGCCAGUGCCGUGCGGGAGCUCCCGGGCCGGGCGCAGCCGGCGGGCGGCGGCAG